AGGUAGACGAAGGUACAAGAAAGUUUGAUAAGCAUGCUCCACCUGUUGCUAAGCAGGCUGUGAGUCAAGCCCAGAGCUUUUUACAGAUAGCAUCACAGAAGCUCCAAGAACUUGUGCAUGAAGCUAGCGCUGGAGGCCCGCGUGCUGCUGUGCGUUAUGCAACCACAGAGUUGAAGCACUUGGCGCUCACCCAAUCUGUAAAGGUGUGGAUUAAACUGAACCAGUUCCCUGUGGUUCACAGAGUUGCAGAUAUGGCUGUUCCCACAGCUGCCCACUGGUCGGAGAAGUACAACCAUCUUGUCAAGGACAUGGCCCAGAAGGGUUAUACAGUCUUUGGUUACGUGCCUUUGGUUCCAAUUGAUGAAAUAGCCGAAGCAUAUAAGCAAGGUGAAGCAGAGAAGAAAGAAAACGCAACUGCACAUAAACCUGAUUCUUCAGAUUCGGAUUAGAAGGUUGCAUUUAAGUGGUGGUUGGGUUUGCUUAAUCCAGGGUUUGGGAAAAUGUGACAUAAGUGCGUGGGUCUAGGCUGAAAUGCUAGGAGAUGGCAAACCUGCAAAUGGGAUCUUAAGGACAUAUUAAUGUGGUGAUGAAUGUGAAAGGUUUUGUAAAUACUCCCUUGUGCUUUUUGGACAAUAAUCGUAUUUCCGCUAGUUCUUCAGCCGGUUGGUCUAAUUCGAAAGGAAUAUGGUACCAUGUGCUGGCAAACACGUCGAGCGGAGCACCUGUUUGCUAAUGCUCGGUUAGAUUUAUUCACAAACCUAAAAUUCAGAUAUUUGUCAAAAUCCUGAAACAAUCCUUAACUAGCUGAAAAACCAGUCAAGAGCAAGCAAAACCAAGUAACCAACAACUUCUUAUACUUUACUCUUAUCAACUUGUUUUUACCUUCAAGAUGUAUAGAUUUAAUAUAAUUUUCAAAUAACUUUUGAAAUUCUUAAAUUGGUUAGUCCCUCACUUUUCAAAAAAUGAAAUACAUUUAGAUUUCCCACCUUUAAACUUCUU
rnacentral:misc_RNA from 1 species